UGAGGGGCGGCCGACUGUGAGGAAAUGAUUUUCGUGGAAUAUUACUUCCUCACCAAAGGGGAACUUGUGCAUGAAUUUUAAUUGGGAGAAAGCAUCUUGAAGCGCGACAUGAAGGCUGAUAGAAAUCCAAUCAGCAACAGUGCCAAGAAAGAGGAAUUUCCCAAUAUUUAAAGAACAGAGCAUAUUGAAAAACAUGGUUUGCGUACUUGCCUUGGUAAAAGAUCCGCACAGCUGCAGAUCUCCAAUGUUUCCAUCAAUUUUGAUACUGAACUAGUUCCUAGGCUAAUACUGAAGAGACAUGAGAAGCUGUGCUAAUAAAGCUCUGAGCUGUUUAACACCUAUUUACAAUCUUGAGAUUACAGCAAA